GUCUUCUGAUAUUCACGAUCCCAUUGGCAAGUUCAUUCCUGAUGUGGAGAUACAGACAUCGAACUUUCGCCCUGAUUCCAUGAAAUGUUUUAUUUACCCAGCCUCCAUUGUUCAGAUUUUCGUUCAUCUCCAUGGAGACAAGGUCUCACUAUGUUGCCCUGAUUGGUCUCCAACUCCUGGACUCAAGCAAUCCUCCUGCCUCAGCCUCCCAAAGUGCUGGGAUUACAGUCAUGAGCUACCACAUAUUUCUUAGUAAUGACAAGAUUCUUAUUUGAAAGGAAAUGGACAACAUUCCAGAAUUGGUGAGAAGGAAUUUGCAUCACUAGGUAAAGCGUCUAUUUUUUUGUUUUUGUUUUCUUUUUCAUUUUUGUUUCAAGAGGUCACACUGAAGGAAACCCAUCUAAUUAAUGGGA